GAUGAACGCUGGCGGCGUGCUUAACACAUGCAAGUCGAACGGGAAACCUUUUAAUGCAGCUUCGGCAGAUUUAGCUGGUUUCUAGUGGCGGACGGGUGAGUAACGCGUGGGUAACCUGCCUUAUACAGGGGGAUAACAGUCAGAAAUGACUGCUAAUACCGCAUAAGCGCACAGGACCGCAUGGUCCGGUGUGAAAAACUCCGGUGGUAUAAGAUGGACCCGCGUUGGAUUAGCUUGUUGGUGGGGUAACGGCUCACCAAGGCGACGAUCCAUAGCCGGCCUGAGAGGGUGAACGGCCACAUUGGGACUGAGACACGGCCCAGACUCCUACGGGAGGCAGCAGUGGGGAAUAUUGCACAAUGGGGGAAACCCUGAUGCAGCGACGCCGCGUGAAGGAAGAAGUAUCUCGGUAUGUAAACUUCUAUCAGCAGGGAAGAUAGUGACGGUACCUGACUAAGAAGCCCCGGCUAACUACGUG
rnacentral:rRNA from 1 species